UGGGGAAUUUUGGACAAUGGGGGCAACCCUGAUCCAGCCAUCCCGCGUGUGCGAUGAAGGCCUUCGGGUUGUAAAGCACUUUUGGCAGGGAAGAAACAGCCUGGGCUAAUAUCCCGGGCGACUGACGGUACCUGCAGAAUAAGCACCGGCUAACUACGUGCCAGCAGCCGCGGUAAUACGUAGGGUGCAAGCGUUAAUCGGAAUUACUGGGCGUAAAGCGUGCGCAGGCGGUUCGGAAAGAAAGGUGUGAAAUCCCAGGGCUUAACCUUGGAACUGCACUUUUAACUACCGGGCUAGAGUACGUCAGAGGGGGGUAGAAUUCCACGUGUAGCAGUGAAAUGCGUAGAGAUGUGGAGGAAUACCCAUGGCGAAGGCAGCCCCCUGGGAUGAUACUGACGCUCAUGCACGAAAGCGUGGGGAGCAAACA
rnacentral:rRNA from 1 species